UACGAAGGGGGCUAGCGUUGUUCGGAUUUACUGGGCGUAAAGCGCACGUAGGCGGAUCGUUGAGUCAGGGGUGAAAUCCUGGAGCUCAACUCCAGAACUGCCUUUGAUACUGGCGAUCUUGAGUCCGGAAGAGGUGAGUGGAACUCCUAGUGUAGAGGUGGAAUUCGUAGAUAUUAGGAAGAACACCAGUGGCGAAGGCGGCUCACUGGCCCGGUACUGACGCUGAGGUGCGAAAGCGUGGGGAGCAAACAGG
rnacentral:rRNA from 1 species